UACGAGGGGGGCAAGCGUUGUUCGGAAUUAUUGGGCGUAAAGGGUGCGUAGGCGGUGCGGCAAGUCGGGUGUGAAAUCUCGGAGCUUAACUCCGAAACUGCAUUCGAUACUGCCGUGCUUGAGGACUGGAGAGGAGACUGGAAUUUACGGUGUAGCGGUGAAAUGCAUAGAUAUCGUAAGGAAGACCAGUGGCGAAGGCGGGUCUCUGGACAGUACCUGACGCUGAGGCACGAAGGUCAGGGGAGCAAACGGG
rnacentral:rRNA from 1 species